rnacentral:rRNA from 1 species
CUGCGGAAGAUCAUUA